UAUGAUAUGACAAUACGUAAAAGCAGAGUUGUAAUAUGAUAAAAUGUUAUAGUUUGAAGAAUGGAAAGGUAUACUGUAUUGGAAGUUUUUGUCCCCCUGUGUAAAUGUAUAAAUUAUACAAAGUCUGGCCCUAGUGAAUUUGGUGAGUAUUGUGAGUUAGUUUAAGAUGUGGCAUGCCAUAUACAGAUCUUGCAGUACUGCACUACAGUUACACUGAUUCUUGGGAUACAAUGAGGUAUCCUACAAUUAUAGAAUCGGCUUUUGAGCCAUACAGUUAUUUGGCACUUUGUGCCCUACAGUUACAGUUUCCUUAUCUGACUUAACAGUCCCAUUUAAAUUUAUAGGGGCCAACAGAAAAAUAAAUAAAUAAAAGUAUUAAGAUAAAAUACAACUUUUU
rnacentral:lncRNA from 1 species